rnacentral:tRNA from 1 species
UCCUCGGUGGCGCAAUUGGCUAGCGCGUCUGACUGUUACUACCUAACUAGUAGUCAUCAGGAGGUUGAAAGUUCGAGCCUUUCCCGGGGAG